CCAAGUAAGUAGAGAGUUUGGUCUAUGAUCUGAAUGAAAUAGUCAACUCUAAAUUUAUCUUCGUGUAAUAAUCUCGCACUUCCCUGAAUCUUCACCAUACUGUCUUUUUCUUUUGAUUACUGCACUCCUUGCUUGGGGAACACAACCUCAAUAUCCAUAGAAGUUGCAAUUAAUUUAGCCGUUGAUUUUGUUUUCUCAAAACCUGGAUCUCUAUAUUUUUGAGAAUAAUGAACCAGCCCCUUAAACUGAGCAAUAUCAAUAUCAACAUCAAUAUCCAUGUCUUCUGUCUGGAAGCUCUUACUCAAAAUGUUACCAACAAAGAAAAGAUUGUACCAAAUAACCAGAGAAACCAAGAAUUCAAAACUUCUAAUUUCAUGUGUUUCACUUGUUGCAAGACAUUUCAUCUUCACACUGCUCUUGUGGAUCAACACUAGUUUUAGCUAUGUAAUCUAAAAUGUCCAUGAUUUUAAGAGUUUGAAAUCGUAUUGUCUUAACACUUUCAACAUGGCUUUCCAAACGAGUAUUCGACAAAGGCUUAAGUGUUAGACCAUCUACCUAUUCUUCAAAUAUUUUCCACCACUUACUUCUAGCUGAAAAAGCAAUAAGUAUGUGGAUAAUCCCAAAAACAAGAACACCAUUGAAGAAGUCCUUACCAAGUGGAAGAUUCAAACUAUGAAAACUACAUUGUGUAUAAGAUUCUCUGGGGUCACUUUGUUAUUUACAAAUAUUAGGUAAAUAUAUUAUAACUAAAUUGGCCAUAUUUCAUUUGAUGUUAAUUGAUUUAACUAAAGUAGACCAAUUUAUACAAAUUUGAAACAAUUUUGGAAGAUGUAAACCAUUUUGAACCGAUUAAAUCUGAUUUUAAUAAACUCGUUUUGGUGAUUACCUAUUUGCCGUCUAGGUGCCACCUAAACAAAUUUGUAGAAUAUUGUCUAUCAGCAUUGAUCAAAGAACAACUAUAUAGUAUUCAAAACAUAAAUCAUAUUCGUAUACAUACACAUAUGUAGUGUAUAAAUCAAGAUUCUUGUCAAUAUAAGUCUGUAAAGUUGUUGCCAAAAAAAAAGUAGAUUACUCUCAUUGGUUUCAGUGGCAACACAAAAACAACAUAAUAGUGUCUUAAAUAAAUUUUUAAAAAAUACUUAUAUAAUUAAAUUGGCAUAACUUACUAUUUUAGGUGUUUUAAUAAAUGUUAUUUGGUCAUUUUCAUCCUAGAGUGCUAUCUUGUGAUAAAAGAUAUUUUGUGUGUAUUAAGAGAAUUGCCCUUGAUUUUUUUUCCUUUUUUGUUUAUAUAUUGAAUGGUGUUUGUGUUAUUGAUCGAUUUCAGUAGCAACACCAAAAAACAGUCUUGUACCUUAGAAAGUCACAAAAUAAAUCCAAAACAAUCAUUUUGGAGAUUUUUUUUACUUUGUUGGGUUUCAAUUUGUAAGUUAGUUCAUUCGAAAUACAAAAAUAUUACGUAUAAGUUAGCAUAACCUACCGAUACUAAAAACUAACCUAUACGUUACACAGAAGCGUUCAUGGACGGGCGAUUCUCGCUUCUGAACCAGAGUCGGAUACGGGAGUGGAAACGUCCGAAAGCUUGAGAGAAGCAC
rnacentral:lncRNA from 1 species